rnacentral:ncRNA from 1 species
ACUGUGGACUAUACAAGAACCUGUGAGUAGAUACUGAUUUGUCAGAUUGAAAGCAUAUAGGAUGAAACAGUAA